UAACAGUUGUUUUUUAAGCACUCCCUGUACGGCCUCGAUUAUUUCUGGAAUCAUCAGAGAAACUGCGAACAGUGGUGUGUUCUGCAGAGGGAACCCCAAGUGAGGAGGCCGACUCUGCACCCCACCCCCAAUACACCGUGUCCUUGGUCGGACUUAUCUUUAAAACAGAAAAGACCUGGCCCAGGCCACUCAAAGGGAGUAGAAGCCUCAGUCAAGUGUGAGGGUUAUUUCUGAAACACACUUCAAACACACUAGUUUGAAUAACAAUGUUAUUCUUAAAAGCGCACUUCUUCCGGAAUUCAAGUCCAGGCUCCCAUCGGCAACAAAAUGCUGGCCUGCCAAUAAUAACCAUGCAGAGUGACUAAACAUUUUUUCCAACAAAGGGUAAAAAAAAAAAAAAAAAAUGCUCCCGACCAAAGUGCAGAACCAGCUCCGGGCCGGAGCGGGCGCGCGUUUCCGCCUCCCACCUUCCCACCGCCUUUGGAGCUCCGGCUGCGCCUAAUUGCUCCGUUGGAACGCGUCCUCUAAGGCUCUGCCAGCAACAGCGCCCCAAACACCCCGCCCCCUCCCCCGCCCGCCGCGGGGGUCACGUGACGGCGGAGAAAAAGUAGGGGAAAGGUUAGCGGGAGCCCCGCCCCCGGCCUGGCGUGCCCCGGGCGCUCAGAUCCUGUUCCACCCGCCGCGCCUCCGGAGAGACCUUCCGCAGCUUUCGGGCGCGCGUGGCCAGCGCUGCCACCCAGGCGACCGCGAGCGGAACGCGGUGCCUCUUCGGAAGGCCGAGGCCUGCGUGCUCAGCCUUCGGGGCAGCUGAGAACUUAGUGUGCCCGGCCACAUCCCACACCCGAAACGCAGCCCCGCGCCCCCGCCAGCCGGGAGCGCGUCCGGAAGGGGCUCGCCGGGACGCACCAGGAAAACUUAAUUAACGGCGUUUCUAUGAAUGGGCAACACGGGGCCAGGGUUGCGUAAGCGCGGGCCUUCGCCCCAGGGCUCCCGGGAGGCCCAGGCUUGACCGCUCGGUGAGCACUGGGCCGAGCCGAGGCCAAGGGCGCAGCGGCACCAGGUUUCUCCUCGUCACCUCCGGGCUAGGCCGUUUGUUUUCAGUACACACUCGCAAGCUGCUCAGAUGGCGACCCAUGUGCAAGGUCCAGUGGAACCUCGCUGCACGAGGAGGAAACCGGACGUUUGCUCGCAAACAGAGCCGCAGGGCACACAGACCCUCGUCCAAGUGCGGCCUUCCGUCCCAAUCAGACGCGUCGGUCCCAGACACUCCCUCGCCUCCACCACCAGCGUUAUCAGCCUCCCGGCCUCGUAUCUACACCACACUCACCCACUGCAAGUCACCUAAAGUAACUCGGCGAGGGGAGGGCGACGCUUGUUGGCGUAAAUAAAAGACCAGCGAGUUCGGCCAUAUUUUUUUAUUCAUUCGGUGUGUGGUUUAUAAGGAAAUAAACAUGCUUGAAUAUCUGGAAUGACCAGAAAUCGGACGCCUGUGCAAGAAAAUGGUGUAACAAAGACAAGUUUCAAAAGGUGAAACUGCCAUUUUCUUCGGUAACUUACAAAGUUACCGGUUUUCUACUGACAUCUGCCCUUGGAUGUUUUAAUACACGGAGCCCAGAGGGACUGAAAGCCUGUCCCAAGUUGGGAAUAUUAAAUCUGUCCAGUAUUCAACCUGG